rnacentral:rRNA from 1 species
UACGUAGGGGCCGAGCGUUGUCCGGAGUUAUUGGGCGUAAAGCGCGCGCAGGCGGCCUCGCGCGCCCGACGUGAAAGCCCCCGGCUUAACCGGGGAGGGUCGUUGGGGACGGCGGGGCUUGAGGGCGGGAGAGGUCGGUGGAAUUCCCGGUGUAGUGGUGAAAUGCGCAGAUAUCAGGAGAAACACCGGUGGCGAAGGCGGUUCUCUGGGCAUUACCUGACGCUGAGGAGCGAACGCAUGGGGAGCGAACAGG